rnacentral:rRNA from 1 species
CGUCGAUCUCGUGAAUCAUCGAAUCUUUGAACGCAUUUUGCACCUGGUCGCUGUUGUGGUGACCAGGUAUACUUGUUUGAGUAUCUACAAUCCUCUCCACCCCCCUUGGGGGGUGGGACAUGAGAGUUCGAUAAUGCACAUUGUGUGUCGUCGUCUCUUGAAAGAUAGGCCGCAUGGUUGGUCUUGACGCUCGCGGGAUCUUUCUCGUGAGUGGCUAUUGGGAUAACAUCCUGACGAUAGCCACAAGUCUUGACCGACCGGUCAUCUUGAUGGACAAUUUAUCAAAUUGUCAAUCAACGGGUGUGUGUGUGCUCAUUUAUUUGAGCAAACACCAUUCACAGAAAAGGAUCUCAAAUCAAGUAAGGAUACCCGCUGAACUUAAGCAUAUCAAUAAGCGGAGG